rnacentral:rRNA from 1 species
UACGUAGGGUGCGAGCGUUAAUCGGAAUUACUGGGCGUAAAGCGUGCGCAGGCGGUUCGCUAAGACCGAUGUGAAAUCCCCGGGCUUAACCUGGGAACUGCAUAGGUGACUGGCGGGCUAGAGUAUGGCAGAGGGGGGUAGAAUUCCACGUGUAGCAGUGAAAUGCGUAGAGAUGUGGAGGAAUACCGAUGGCGAAGGCAGCCCCCUGGGCCAAUACUGACGCUCAUGCACGAAAGCGUGGGGAGCAAACAGG